rnacentral:rRNA from 1 species
ACGAGAAUAUUCCGCAAUGGGCGAAAGCCUGACGGAGCGACGCCGCGUGAUGGAUGAAGUGCCUUGGUACGUAAACAUCUUUUAUCGGGGACGAAGUAAUUGACGGUACCCGAUGAAUAAGGGGCUCCUAACUCUGUGCCAGCAGGAGCGGUAAUACAGAGGCCCCAAGCAUUACCCGGAAUCACUGGGCGUAAAGGGUGUCACGGCGGCUCUAUUAGUCUCUCGUUAAAUCUGUGGGCUCAACCUGCAGCCGGCGAGGGAAACGGUAGAGCUCGAGAGCGCAAGAGGUAGAGGGAACUCAUGGUGGAGGGGUGAAAUCCGUUGAUAUCAUGGGGAACACCAAAGGCGAAGGCACUCUACUGGUGCGUUUCUGACGCUCACACACGAAAGCCAGGGUAGCGAACGGG